rnacentral:rRNA from 1 species
GUCCACGCCGUAAACGAUGGGUGCUAGGUGUUGCGGGUAUUGACCCCUGCGGCGCCGCAGCUAACGCAUUAAGCACCCCGCCUGGGGACUACGGCCGCAAGGCUAAAACUCAAAGGAAUUGACGGGGGCCCGCACAAGCGGUGGAGCAUGUGGUUUAAUUCGACGCAACGCGAAGAACCUUACCCGGGUUAGAACUCUCAGGAAGUCUGCAGAGACGUGGAUGUGCCCUUCGGGGAACCUGAUGUCCAGGUGCUGCAUGGCUGUCGU